GUUGAACGCUGGCGGCGUGCCUAAUACAUGCCAGUCGAGCGAACAGACGAGGAGCUUGCUCCUCUGACGUUAGCGGCGGACGGGUGAGUAACACGUGGAUAACCUACCUAUAAGACUGUGAUAACUUCGGGAACCCGGAGCUAAUACCGGAUAAUAUAUUGAACCGCAUUGUUCAAUAGUGAAAGACGUUUUUGCUGUCACUUAUAGAUGUAUCCGCGCAGCAUUAUUUAGUUGGUAAGGUAACGGCUUCCCAAGGCAACGAUUCGUAGCCGACCCGAGAGAGGAAUCGGCGAAAUCGGAAUGGAGACACGGUCACAACACCUAAGGGAGGAACCAGUAGGAAAUUUGUCGCAAUGGGUAAAAGCCGGCCGGAGAAACGCAGGGUGAGUGAUGAAGGUUUUCGGAUCGUAAAAGUUUUUUAAUAGGGCAGAACAAAUGUGUAAGUAACUACGAACGUAUUGAGGGUACCUAAGCAGAAGGCCAGGGCUAACUACGU
rnacentral:rRNA from 1 species